CAGCAGCCGCGGGAAUACGUAGGGUGCAAGCGUUAAUCGGAAUUACUGGGCGUAAAGCGUGCGCAGGCGGUUCGUUAAGACAGAUGUGAAAUCCCCGGGCUUAACCUGGGAACUGCAUUUGUGACUGGCCGGCUAGAGUAUGGCAGAGGGGGGUAGAAUUCCACGUGUAGCAGUGAAAUGCGUAGAGAUGUGGAGGAAUACCGAUGGCGAAGGCAGCCCCCUGGGCCAAUACUGACGCUCGUGCACGAAAGCGUGGGGAGCUAACAGGAUUAGAUACCCCAGUAGUCCCUGUCUCUUAUAC
rnacentral:rRNA from 1 species